UGGGGAAUAUUGGACAAUGGGGGAAACCCUGAUGCAGCGAUGCCGCGUGAGUGAAGAAGGCCCUUGGGUUGUAAAGCUCUUUCGUCGGGGAAGAAAAUGACUGUACCCGAAUAAGAAGGUCCGGCUAACUACGUGCCAGCAGCCGCGGUAAUACGUAGGAACCGAGCGUUGUCCGAAUUUACUGGGCGUAAAGGGCGAGUAGGCGGCUUGCCAAGUCUCAUGUGAAAUCUCCCGGCUCAACUGGGAGGGGUCAUGGGAAACUGGCAGGCUAGAGGGCAGCAGAGGAAGGUGGAAUUCCCGGAGUAGUGGUGGAAUGCGUAGAUACCGGGAGGAACACCAGUGGCGAAGGCGGCUUUCUGGGCUGUACCUGACGCUGAGGCGCGAAAGCGUGGGGAGCAAACCGG
rnacentral:rRNA from 1 species